UGUAAUAAUGUAGUACUGCAUAUAUCUAGAAGGCAUAUGUAUGGUAGAUUGAAGUCGUUAGAGAGUAUUAAGGCCAUGGAACAGAAGUAUUGCCUUCACAUUGCUGCUCUAGGACUGUAUAUCCCGAUUGGAAUGGGUCCCAUAAUGCGUAGUACAUAACCAUUAAGACAUCUGUCAUAAGCUUCGACUUUGUGACAUACCUAUUGAAUUUAUGGCCCUGUGUUUAAACGAAGUGGCCAACAGGAUUGUGAAGCUUGUCCUAAAUAGACAGGGGAAGGCUUUGUUGAGUUGAGUUGAGAUGAUACUUUCCAGUCUGUUACCUGCUCUCUAUUAGCCGUGGUUACAAUAUUCAAUUAUUAUUCGGUUGAUUAAGUCAUCUAAUCACAGUUAGCAGUGACUUUUUCUGUUUUUGUAAUUUUUUUAGUGAUUGUAAGUAGGCAUGUACUCAUGUAAGUUCUUGAUUUUUUGUUCUCAUAUUAACUUGCAACCUCGUGAUUAUAUGCGGAUUUGGGUACCCACAAAUCCUGGAGGGGUUGAGAGGCUUGCCCUAGGCAUCAUUGAAACUGAGUCAGAUUUCUAUCUCCACAGCUUGUGGGGUUUGCCUAAUGAGUUAUCAUAGAACUUCACCAUUUUGCUGUUCCAUUAUGAUGGUUGGACAAGUGAGUGAUGAAUUUGAGUGGUCAAAGCGGGCUAUCCACAUAAGUGUCCGGAAACAAACUAAAUGGUAAAUCUGUUAUGCCUACUUCUGCCUCCUAACAACGUUUUUAGAUGGGCUGUAUUGGCUUGUUAUUGAAGCAUAUUAGAUUAACAAAUUUUUACCUAAUUUUAUAUCUAAACUCGUUGAAAUUUGUGCAAGGUGGUAUGCCAAACGUUUUCUGCAUCCUAAGAUUGUGGCGACCUGUGAUUAUGUUUUUAUUAGGGAUGACGACCUCGGGGUUGGGCAUUCUGAUCCAGAGGAGCGAGUGAAAAUUUCAGUAUCUUUGAAGAUGUUGUUUAAAUGGAUCGGGUUUAUUAAUGUUAUCAAUUAAAUGCAGAUAUAUUAUAUUAAACUGGUGAGGAAGCAUAGAUUGGAAAUUUCUCAACUAGGUUUUGUGGAGCCAAAUGAUGGUUUUACAUGGCAGAUGACCAAAAAGAGGGAUGAUAGUGAAGUUCACAAGUGAGAUGAUCUGCAUUUAUUGUUGCUUUGUCAGAUAAACUUGUACUGUUGCUAGACACUCUUUCAAAUUUUUUUUUUAAAGUUUGUCCUCCAGAGAAACCAAAGAGAUACGGUGCACUGAUCCACACUUGCCACCAUGUGCAGCAUUUGUUGAAAUCAUGGCACCUGUGUUUUCUCUAGACGCAUGGCGCUGUGUUUGGCAUAUCAUUCAGGUACAAAACAUUAUCUUCACGUUUUCCUAUCGCUCCCAACCCUUCAAGCUGUCUUUGGUAAGUAUUAAAAUUCUUUUCUUUUAUUGCAGAAUGACUUGGUCCAUGGCUGGGGUCUUGAUUUUGCUCUUUGAAAAUGCGUAGACAUCACUUAUCACCUUGUGCUAUCUCUAUUCAUAUGCCUGUCUAGCCUAUAAUUAU